GACGAACGCUGGCGGCGUGCCUAAUACAUGCAAGUAGAACGCUGAAGCGCGGAGCUUGCUCUUCUUGGAUGAGUUGCGAACGGGUGAGUAACGCGUAGGUAACCUGCCUUGUAGUGGGGGAUCACUAUUGGAAACGAUAGCUAAUACCGCAUAACAAUGGAUGACACAUGUCAUUUAUUUGAAAGGGGCAAUUGCUCCACUACAAGCUGGACCUGCGUUGUAUUAGCUAGUAGGUGAGGUAAUAGCUCUCCUAGGCGACGAUACAUAGCCGACCUGCGAGGGUGGUCGGCCAGACUGGGAGGGUGACACGGCACAUACGCAUACAGGUGGGAGCAAGAGGGAAUCGGCAGGAAGGAGGGCAACCUAUACCGAGCAAGGCGGCAGCAGGGAAGAGCGUUGUCGGAUCGGAAAGCACUGUUGUAGGGUAAGAACGGGUGUGAGAGUGUAAAGUUCAGUGUGUGACGGUAACUGACCAGAAAGCAACGGCUAACUACGUG
rnacentral:rRNA from 1 species